GAUGAACGCUGGCGGCGUGCCUAAUACAUGCAAGUCGAGCGAACAGACGAGGAGCUUGCUUCUCUGACGUUAGCGGCGGACGGGUGAGUAACACGUGGAUAACCUACCUAUAAGACUGGGAUAACUUCGGGAAACCGGAGCUAAUACCGGAAAAUAUAUUGAACUGCAUGGUUCAAUAGUGAAAGACGGUUUUGCUGUCACUUAUAGAUGGAACCGCGCCGCAUUAGCUAGUUGGUAAGGUAACGGCUUACCAAGGCAACGAUGCGUAGCCGACCUGAGAGGGUGAUCGGCCACACUGGAACUGAGACACGGUCCAGACUCCUACGGGAGGCAGCAGUGGGGAAUCUUCCGCAAUGGGCGAAAGCCUGACGGAGCAACGCCGCGUGAGUGAUGAAGGUCUUCGGAUCGUAAAACUCUGUUAUUAGGGAAGAACAAAUGUGUAAGUAACUAUGCACGUCUUGACGGUACCUAAUCAGAAAGCCACGGCUAACUACGUG
rnacentral:rRNA from 1 species